rnacentral:rRNA from 2 species
UGGGGAAUUUUACGCAAUGGGGGAAACCCUGACGUAGCGACACCGCGUGAGCGAAGAAGCCCUUUGGGGUGUAAAGCUCUGUCGGCUGGAACGAAACAAAUGACGGUACCAGCAAAGGAAGCAUCGGCUAACUACGUGCCAGCAGCCGCGGUAAGACGUAGGAUGCGAGCGUUGUCCGGAUUUAUUGGGCGUAAAGAGUUCGUAGGUGGUUUGUUAAGUCUGAUGUUAAAGAUCGGAGCUCAACUUCGGGACAGCAUUGGAUACUGGCAGACUUGAGUAUGGUAGAGGCUAGUGGAAUUCCCAGUGUAGCGGUGAAAUGCGUAGAUAUUGGGAAGAACACCGGUGGCGUAGGCGACUAGCUGGGCCAUAACUGACGCUGAGGAACGAAAGCCAGGGGAGCGAAAGGG